UGGCCGCGCCGCGGGUGGCUGGGUUUGAAAGGCGGCACCGGAGCAGCCAGGACUUAGGCAGCCCGGGGACCGGCGACGCGCUCAGGCGGCGGGGAAGCUGCUCGUCCGUGCGCUCGUGGCUGGCCGGGAGCGGGGCCAGCGGGCAGCGAGAGGCGCCUGCUAGGGGAGCGGGCUCUGGGACCGGCCCGGGAGCGCGGCGGUGCCCGGCACCCGGAGAGGCAGCCAGCCGACGGGAGGAUGCGGACAGCCUCGUAGGGAGCUGGGCCAUGCCCCGGGGGGCCAGGCUGCGCACACGGCAAUGCUAUGAGUCCAGAAGUCCUGAAAAUAGUGUGGGUACAGAGUACAGGUAAUGGACGACUCUACCACCAAACCCUCCACCAAUGUAUCCCAGCAUUGACCAAGAGAUGCCAGCUGAGAGGGACCAGGUUUCUUCUAUGGGCGCUGAACUCCCAGCUACCUAUGCCUAUUGCCUGUGAUGGAAGAACUUGAUGUUAAUGUGAGUUCGAGUGAGGGGUUCGGCGUGGCAGAGAAGAUCGCACUGCUCACCUUUAUCUCGGCGGUUAUACUCAUGGCGAUCCUGGGGAACUUGCUGGUGAUGGUGGCAGUAUGCAGAGACAGGCAGCUCAGGAAAAUCAAGACCAAUUAUUUCAUUGUCUCACUUGCCUUUGCGGACCUGCUGGUGUCGGUGCUGGUGAUGCCCUUUGGAGCUAUUGAGCUGGUUCAGGAUAACUGGAUUUAUGGAGAGAUGUUCUGCCUGGUCCGAACAUCUCUAGAUGUCCUGCUCACCACAGCAUCAAUCCUUCACCUGUGCUGUAUCUCCCUAGACAGGUACUAUGCUAUCUGCUGCCAGCCUCUGGUUUACAGGAAUAAGAUGACACCACUGCGCAUUGCUCUAAUGCUUGGAGGGUGCUGGACCAUCCCGACAUUUAUUUCUUUUCUCCCUAUAAUGCAAGGCUGGAAUUCCAUUGGUAUAUUAGACUUGAUACAACAAAGACAGUUCAACAAGGCUUCCAACUCAACCUACUGCGUGUUCAUGGUCAACAAACCCUACGCCAUCACCUGCUCAGUGGUGGCCUUCUACAUUCCAUUCCUCUUGAUGGUGCUGGCCUACUAUCGGAUUUACAUCACGGCCAGGGAGCACGCCCGCCAGAUCCGGAUCCUCCAGCGUGCAGGGGCGCCCACAGAGGGGAGACACCACCCGGAUCAGCAUAGCUCUCACCGUAUGAAGACAGAGACCAAAGCUGCCAAGACCCUGUGUAUCAUCAUGGGGUGCUUCUGUCUGUGCUGGGCCCCAUUCUUUAUCACUAAUGUCGUGGACCCGUUCAUAAAUUAUACUGUACCUGAGCAGCUGUGGACAGCUUUCCUGUGGUUGGGCUACAUCAAUUCAGGGUUGAACCCCUUCCUGUAUGCCUUCCUGAACAAGUCUUUCAGACGUGCCUUCCUCAUCAUUCUGUGCUGUGGAGACGAACGCUACCGAAGGCCUUCCAUCUUGGGGCAAACUGUCCCCUGUUCCACCACCACUAUAAAUGGAUCGACGCACGUGCUAAGCAGGCCACUGUAGGGAUCUGAUCAUGGUCUCUCCCUUCCACUUCCUGGCAACACAAACAUGCAUUUGUCAAUAUCUUCCUGACCACUAAGCACCUCAACAUAGACUUUCCCUCCUUCUCUAUGCCAUCUGAACAUGGACUUUCCCCAUCAAACCUCGCCAUCUCCAUAUUUUCAUAUGUGCCGUCUCCAGUUGCUAACUGGCUGUUCUUCUAUCUCCAAGUUCCUCCUGCUGUUCUGCAAUAGACCAGUUCCUGUUUAACCCUGAACAUGCUCUGAUUUACUGAGCUCCAGCAUGAUCCUCAUCCUGGUCCUUUCAUCCUUCCCUGAUGACCAGGUACACAGUUUUACAUAAUGGGCAUCAUCAGGAACACGAGAAGCUUCCCAUCCACAAUGACCCAGAAUCCCAGGAGUCCUGUUUCUAAUGAAGACCCUGGCAGAGGAACCGCACACCUGCACACCAGAUGAUUUUGGGGCAGCAGGACUCUAAUGCAAGCUCAUUUGCCUGCAUUUCCCUGGUGCCUCCUGUAUUGAUUUGACAGGAAUGGCUAACAGCAUGAAGAUGGUGACUGACGAGGCUGAGGAGGGGAUGCAAUGUGCAGAACAAUUGAGGAGACCUUUCUGUUGCUGCAGGAGGAUGUCUGGACUUUAUUAACGCAGCAGGGCCUUAAUGUCAGUGCUUUACAGAGGUGUGCAAACUUCCAUCCCUGUAUACAAAGAGCACACACACAAGCCCUCGCACACACAUACCCACACUGAGAUUUAUGGUUUUUCGCCAGCUGCCAUUUUUUGCUGCAUGCCGCCUCUUUGUUUUGUGGCCACAAUAUUGUGAUCUUAAAGAUUUCAAAGUCUGACUUGAAGCUGUAACGGUGAACUGCAGUAAAUGCCUCCUUUGUCUGCUCAAGGUCACACCUACGCCUAACAUGGUGCUGUCAGGAGAGACGUAGUGCUUAUGUUUUCUUUCUGAAAAGAAAAGGAAUUCUUUUCCUUCUCAGUUAUCUUCAAUGGUGAGAUCUGUCAGUGUGAGCUGACAAUUCCCCCUGUCCAGUGCAAUAUCAAAUGGAAACAGUGUUUCCCUGUAGAUACUUUUCCAGUGAGGGUCCUGACCAAGAUCUCUGGUAAAAGAGCCAAUGAGCAAAAAUAGCCCAUGAGGAUCUAAAAUGCAGCCCACAGUGACAUAUCAUCUUUGAUAUGGAGACAUGGCCCACAGAGACUGCAAGUCCCAGCAAGUGCUGCUCUAUACUAGCCAGAAGACAGUAGUCAUGGUCUGCCCCAUUUUCUACCUAUUAGAUGCAGUAGUCCUUAUUUGGGCAAACGUUGGGUAUCCCACCUGUAAAAGAAAGGUUGAUCAAGAGACAAAGUCCUUAGGGAAUAUCAAUCUGUAAUAGCUCACUAAGUGCCAUGUUGAUAAAUAUAUGCCAUCUGAAGAGCUUUUCUAGCUACAGUUGGAAGACAAACUCCUACUUGGGUGUUUUGCUUUUUCUUCCCUCCCCUCCCCCCAUCCACCUGUGAGGUUUAAAAAAAACAAAAACAAGCUUCAGAACUUUCAAAUGUUGCCCGAUGCACCUGCCCUUUUACAAUAAUCUCAUAUCCUAGCUACUUCCUGCAUGCAGCUAUUACUACAUUCCUUGUAGGCAGCUUCCUCCUUUGCAUGUAAAUGACAGGCAACGCUGUAGAUCUAGGAACCCUGGGAGUCUGAUUUUCGUGCAGUGGGAAAUACACAGGUUCUACACCGUGGGCCUGUAACCUCCUUAGAUGAAGAUCUAACCCAAAGAUGACGGCCUUAGCCUGGAAAACAGAAAUGUAUUUUGUUACAUUGUGUAAUCAUGUACAGAUUUUUUUUAAUGUAAAGAAAAAAGUUGACAUUAUUUAUUAUUAUUUUUAAAAAGAAGUGUUUUUUCCAUUCUAAGCUUCUAAAACAUGGGAGUUUAACAUAUAAAUAUUAUUAUUUUAUUAAUGUUCUGUUGCUAUGUGACAGGUAUCUACUGUAAAAACAACCUGCUUUGAACAAAGAAAAAGUAUUGCUGAGAAAGAGAAUUUUGUGCAUGAUAACAGCAAGCAGGUUUCGAACCAUGGUGUCUGAUUAUCCUUGACUUCCUUGAAAUGUUCUUUGCACUUGGAAAAACUCCAUGCUAAAGUUUCUCAUCUUUUUCUUUUAAAAAUCAUUAGUGCACUGGCCAGGAAUAGCCCUAAUUAGAUGAAAUGGUAGAGCCAAAUAAUUUUAAUUUAGAAAGCCCGAAGAGGUUAGCAGCAGGCACAAAACUGUUGGUUUUAACACUUCAUAUUUUACUCCAGGCACUGGCAGUAAAUAUAAGACGUUCUAAGAGAGCGCGUGAGAGACGCAAUUUGACAAAGGCCCAGUUCGGUAAUCACAUGCUUGUGUAGGGGUGGCUUUUCAAAAGUGCUCAGGAUUGGCCUAAUUCUGCUCCCAUUGUAGUCAAUGAUACAAUUUCCAUUGACUUCAAUGGGAGAAGGGUUAGGCCAUUGCUGAGUGCUUUUGAGAAGACCAUCCCCAAGCACCUUUACUCCUGUGAUUUAGUUCUCAGUGGAACUAUUCGUGUGAAUGGUGUUUGCAGGACUCAGUUCUGUGACAGUAGCCCAAGUAGUGUUGGGACCCUUCAUUCAUCCUAAGUGGCAACAGGGCUGGCUCCAAGCAGCUUUUUUGCUGCUCCAAGUGGUGAAGCGGAGGGAAAAAAAAAAAGAUAAAGCUGCGAUUGGCAGCAUUUCGGCAGCAGCUC